rnacentral:rRNA from 1 species
UACGGAGGGUGCAAGCGUUAUCCGGAUUCACUGGGUUUAAAGGGAGCGUAGGUGGGUUGGUAAGUCAGUGGUGAAAUCCCCGAGCUUAACUUGGGAACUGCCAUUGAUACUAUCAGUCUUGAAUAUUGUGGAGGUCAGCGGAGUAUGUCAUGUAGCGGUGAAAUGCUUAGAGAUGACAUAGAACACCAAUUGCGAAGGCAGCUGGCUACACAUAUAUUGACACUGAGGCUCGAAAGCGUGGGGAUCAAACAGG